AGCGUAGACGGUAAAGCAAGUCUGAAGUGAAAGCCCGGGGCUCAACCCCGGGACUGCCUUGGAAACUGUUUAACUAGAGUGCUGGAGAGGUAAGCGGAAUUCCUAGUGUAGCGGUGAAAUGCGUAGAUAUUAGGAGGAACACCAGUGGCGAAGGCGGCUUACUGGACAGUAACUGACGUUGAGGCUCGAAAGCGUGGGGAGCAAACAAG
rnacentral:rRNA from 1 species